CCUACGGGAGGCAGCAGUGGGGAAUUUUGGACAAUGGGCGAAAGCCUGAUCCAGCCAUGCCGCGUGCAGGAUGGAGGCCUUCGGGUUGUAAACUGCUUUUGUACGGAACGAAAAGCCUCUUUCUAAUAAAGAGGGGUCAUGACGGUACCGUAAGAAUAAGCACCGGCUAACUACGUGCCAGCAGCCGCGGUAAU
rnacentral:rRNA from 1 species